UACGGGGGGGGCAAGCGUUGUUCGGAAUUACUGGGCGUAAAGGGCUCGUAGGCGGCCAACUAAGUCAGACGUGAAAUCCCUCGGCUUAACCGGGGAACUGCGUCUGAUACUGGAUGGCUUGAGUUUGGGAGAGGGAUGCGGAAUUCCAGGUGUAGCGGUGAAAUGCGUAGAUAUCUGGAGGAACACCGGUGGCGAAGGCGGCAUCCUGGUUGGAUACUGACGCUGAGACGCGAAAGCGUGGGGAGCAACAGGG
rnacentral:rRNA from 1 species